AAGUGUCCACAAAGGGGAAGGGAUCAAAGGCAGUUCUGAGGUUCACUCUCUGAAGAAACUUAGGCAGAGACAUCCUGAUUCGUAGGAGACAAAGGCUUGGAGGACUGAUAAGCAGCACGGAAAUGCACAAGGAGCAGAGGAAGGGUGUGGUCCAUCCCGGACAGGCUGAGGCAACAGCUUUUGGGAUAGCCCCUGCUCCAGUUGUUCAGGACUCAGAUGAAGACCAAGCUGCACACCUGCUACAUGUGCGGAGAAGCCUAGGCCCAGCCCGUGUAUGUUCUUUGGUUGGUGGUUCAGACUCUGAGAACCCCAAGGAUCCAGCUCUUAUGCUGAAGAUCGCCACCCAGUGGGGACACGGGAAAUUCCAGCCCAGGGUGCCCAGCUGUGACCUAAUGAGGAAGCCUGUGGAUGGUGACAGAAAGCUGGCUAACAUAAGAGUCACUGAAGACUUUCAUCUUUCCUCUAAUAAAAUGGAGUCAGACAUUGUGCUGGCUGGUUUUGAGGGUCAACUUGACUGACAAGAAGCUCAAGCCAGAGAGGAGGGAGCCUCAGUUGAGGAAAUGCCUCCAUGAGAUCCAGCUGUGAGACAUUUUCUCAUUAGUGAUCAACGAGGGAGCCUAAUAAGGAGAGUGCUGUCCCUGGUCUGGUGGUCCUGGGUUCUAUGAGAAAGAAAGCUGCUAAGCCAUGUUAAACAAGCCAGUUACCAGCACCCCUCCAUGCCCCCUGCACAGCUCCUGCCUGCAGGCUCCAGCCCUGCUUUAGUUCCUGUCCUGACUUCCUCCAAUGAUGGACCAUGAUCUGGAAGUGUAAGCUAAAUAAAGCCUUUCCUCCCCAAC
rnacentral:lncRNA from 1 species